AGAGGGCAUUCCCCUUAUUUAUAGGGAAAAUGAUGUAACACAGGUAAAAGUGGGAGGUGAGCCAAGUAGAUUCUGGGAAUAGGUGCCUGUUGCCUUGGCAACGGGUCUGCGGGUCGCACUGUCGCCUGUGUGACGUCAUAGGUUUGGGAGGUCGUGAUGCCAACAGCAUAAGCAUGCAGCAGUGAAUCCUUCAUUUGUCCAGACCCAGUCUCCAGGGCCACAGCUUCCUACACAGACAUCGCCCUGCCCAUCCGAUGGGGUUGUUAGCAUCUUUCUCUCCUCUUGAGGAAACACAACCGCUUGGGACUCAGUUCCUUUUUCAGAUUUAUGUCUUUCAGUCAAAGGCUAAGUUCAGAGGUUCAUCAUCAAGGCAGGAACAUGGCAGCAUCCAGGCAGGCAUGGUACAGGAGGAGCUGAGAGUUCUACAUCAUCAUCUGAAGGCCUCUAGGAGAAGACUGGCUCCCACGAGGUUAGAAGGAGGGUCUCACUGACCACCCCCACA
rnacentral:lncRNA from 1 species